rnacentral:lncRNA from 1 species
CCGACCCCCUGCGCUGGGGAGCCAAAGAAAGUCUCCCAGCCUCGGGGGCCUGAAGGGAGGUUCGCGGGAGCCCGGGAGCUGGGGAAAGCGGGGUGGGGGGAGCGCAGGGAUCGCCGCCUCCGUCCGGGAGUCCCCGUGCGCGUGUCUCUCGCCUUGACGUUUUACACCCCACAGCGGCGACUCGGAGCAGGGUUGCACGUCCCAGCCAUGAAGUACUGUAGGUGGGGCGGGCUUUAAUUUGCUUAUAUCUAAUGAUUUCAGGAGGCUUGCUUUAAAAUGGCGGCAUUCAGUACGCACCCCUGCUAAAGGCUCUCCCGGCUCCGGGGCCACCUCGCGCAGCGCUGCUUUUGCUUCUGCCUCUAACAGAUGGCAUGUGCCGCUGUCGCUGCUGCUGCCCCCGCCACUGCCGCGGAUAGCAGGACCCCUUAGCCCCUGGGUUUGCGCUCGCAGCAGAAGGGCUUUGAUCUUUCUUCUUCCCGUUCUGCCGUUUUUCCUUUUUUCUACCUUUUCC